rnacentral:rRNA from 1 species
AGAGUUUGAUCCUGGCUCAGAUUGAACGCUGGCGGCAGGCUUAACACAUGCAAGUCGAGCGGAAACGAUACCAGCUUGCUGGUAGGCGUCGAGCGGCGGACGGGUGAGUAAUACUUAGGAAUCUACCUAGUAGUGGGGGAUAGCUCGGGGAAACUCGAAUUAAUACCGCAUACGACCUACGGGAGAAAGGGGGCAGUUUACUGCUCUCGCUAUUAGAUGAGCCUAAGUCGGAUUAGCUAGAUGGUGGGGUAAAGGCCUACCAUGGCGACGAUCUGUAGCUGGUCUGAGAGGAUGAUCAGCCACACCGGGACUGAGACACGGCCCGGACUCCUACGGGAGGCAGCAGUGGGGAAUAUUGGACAAUGGGGGAAACCCUGAUCCAGCCAUGCCGCGUGUGUGAAGAAGGCCUUUUGGUUGUAAAGCACUUUAAGCAGUGAAGAAGACUCCUCGGUUAAUACCCGUGGACGAUGACAUUAGCUGCAGAAUAAGCACCGGCUAACUCUGUGCCAGCAGCCGCGGUAAUACAGAGGGUGCAAGCGUUAAUCGGAAUUACUGGGCGUAAAGCGAGCGUAGGUGGCUUGAUAAGUCAGAUGUGAAAUCCCCGGGCUUAACCUGGGAACUGCAUCUGAAACUGUUAGGCUAGAGUAGGUGAGAGGAAGGUAGAAUUCCAGGUGUAGCGGUGAAAUGCGUAGAGAUCUGGAGGAAUACCGAUGGCGAAGGCAGCCUUCUGGCAUCAUACUGACACUGAGGCUCGAAAGCGUGGGUAGCAAACAGGAUUAGAUACCCUGGUAGUCCACGCCGUAAACGAUGUCUACUAGUCGCUGGGUCCCUUGAGGACUUAGUGACGCAGCUAACGCAAUAAGUAGACCGCCUGGGGAGUACGGCCGCAAGGUUAAAACUCAAAUGAAUUGACGGGGGCCCGCACAAGCGGUGGAGCAUGUGGUUUAAUUCGAUGCAACGCGAAGAACCUUACCUGGUCUUGACAUAUCUAGAAUCCUGCAGAGAUGCGGGAGUGCCUUCGGGAAUUAGAAUACAGGUGCUGCAUGGCUGUCGUCAGCUCGUGUCGUGAGAUGUUGGGUUAAGUCCCGCAACGAGCGCAACCCUUGUCCUUAGUUACCAGCGGGUUAAGCCGGGAACUCUAAGGAUACUGCCAGUGACGAACUGGAGGAAGGCGGGGACGACGUCAAGUCAUCAUGGCCCUUACGACCAGGGCUACACACGUGCUACAAUGGUAGGUACAGAGGGCAGCUACACAGCGAUGUGAUGCGAAUCUCAAAAAGCCUAUCGUAGUCCAGAUUGGAGUCUGCAACUCGACUCCAUGAAGUAGGAAUCGCUAGUAAUCGCGGAUCAGAAUGCCGCGGUGAAUACGUUCCCGGGCCUUGCACACACCGCCCGUAAUCACUAGUGAAUU